rnacentral:rRNA from 1 species
GACAGAGGGUGCAAACGUUGUUCGGAAUUACUGGGCGUAAAGCGCGUGUAGGCGGCCUUGCAAGUCGGGUGUGAAAGCCCUUGGCUCAACUGGGGAAGUGCACUCGAAACUGCAAGGCUUGAGUCCCGGAGAGGAUGGUGGAAUUCUCGGUGUAGAGGUGAAAUUCGUAGAUAUCGAGAGGAACACCGGUGGCGAAGGCGGCCAUCUGGACGGUGACUGACACUGAGACGCGAAAGCAUGGGGAG